rnacentral:rRNA from 1 species
CAGCCGCCGCGGGAAAACGGAGGGAGCUAGCGUUGUUCGGAAUUACUGGGCGUAAAGCGCGCGUAGGCGGUUACUCAAGUCAGAGGUGAAAGCCCGGGGCUCAACCCCGGAACUGCCUUUGAAACUAGGUGACUAGAAUCUUGGAGAGGUCAGUGGAAUUCCGAGUGUAGAGGUGAAAUUCGUAGAUAUUCGGAAGAACACCAGUGGCGAAGGCGACUGACUGGACAAGUAUUGACGCUGAGGUGCGAAAGCGUGGGGAGCAAACAGGAUUAGAUACCCGCGUAGUCCCUGUCUCUUAUAC